rnacentral:rRNA from 1 species
GGACGAACGCUGGCGGCGUGCUUAACCCAUGCAAGUCGAACGGUGAACGAGGGAGCUUGCUCCCUCCGGAUCAGUGGCGAACGGGUGAGUAACACGUGAGCAAUCUGCCCCGAACUCUGGGAUAAGCGUUGGAAACGACGUCUAAUACCGGAUACGACGCGGGAGGGCAUCCUCUCCGCGUGGAAAGAACUUCGGUUCGGGAUGAGCUCGCGGCCUAUCAGCUUGUUGGUGAGGUAACGGCUCACCAAGGCGACGACGGGUAGCCGGCCUGAGAGGGUGACCGGCCACACUGGGACUGAGACACGGCCCAGACUCCUACGGGAGGCAGCAGUGGGGAAUAUUGCACAAUGGGCGCAAGCCUGAUGCAGCAACGCCGCGUGAGGGACGACGGCCUUCGGGUUGUAAACCUCUUUUAGCAGGGAAGAAGCGAAAGUGACGGUACCUGCAGAAAAAGCACCGGCUAACUACGUG